rnacentral:misc_RNA from 1 species
GAUGAAGAACGUAGCGAAAUGCGAUAAGUAAUGUGAAUUGCAGAAUUCAGUGAAUCAUCGAAUCUUUGAACGCACAUUGCGCCCGCGAGUAUUCUCGCGGGCAUGCCUGUCCGAGCGUCAUUUCAACCCUCAGGACCCGCCUGCUUCGGCAGGCGCGGCGCUGGUGUUGGGGAUCGGCCUAACCGCCGUCCCCCAAAUACAGUGGCGGUCUCGCUGCAGCCUCCCCUGCGUAGUAGCAACACUCGCAUGCGGAGCGCGGCGCGGCCACGCCGUAAAACCCCCGACUUUCUGAACGUUGACCUCGGAUCAGGUAGGAAUACCCGCUGAACUUAAGCAUAUCAAUAAGCGGAGGA